rnacentral:rRNA from 1 species
GAUGAACGCUAGCUACAGGCUUAACACAUGCAAGUCGAGGGGAAACGACAUCGAAAGCUUGCUUUUGAUGGGCGUCGACCGGCGCACGGGUGAGUAACGCGUAUCCAACCUGCCCAUCACUUGGGGAUAACCUUGCGAAAGUAAGACUAAUACCCAAUGAUAUCUCUAGAAGACAUCUGAAAGAGAUUAAAGAUUUAUCGGUGAUGGAUGGGGAUGCGUCUGAUUAGCUUGUUGGCGGGGUAACGGCCCACCAAGGCAACGAUCAGUAGGGGUUCUGAGAGGAAGGUCCCCCACAUUGGAACUGAGACACGGUCCACACUCCUACGGGAGGCAGCAGUGAGGAAUAUUGGUCAACGGACGAGGGCCUGAACCAGCCAAGUAGCGUACAGGAAGACGGCCCUAUGGGUUGUAAACUGCUUUUAUAAGAGAAUAGAGUGAGAGUCGUGACUCUUUUUGUAUGUACCUUAUGAAUAAGGACCGGCUAAUUCCGUG